UACGGAGGGAGCUAGCGUUAUUCGGAAUUACUGGGCAUAAAGCGCACGUAGGCGGCUUUGUAAGUAAGAGGUGAAAGCCCAGAGCUCAACUCUGGAAUUGCCUUUUAGACUGCAUCGCUUGAAUCAUGGAGAGGUCAGUGGAAUUCCGAGUGUAGAGGUGAAAUUCGUAGAUAUUCGGAAGAACACCAGUGGCGAAGGCGGCUGACUGGACAUGUAUUGACGCUGAGGUGCGAAAGCGUGGGGAGCAAACAGG
rnacentral:rRNA from 1 species